AAUGCAGAUUUAUCUUGAAUAAGGGUAUAGUACAUGUAUAGACAUAGUUAUUGUAAACCAAUCACGGUGUCCUAGACGAUGGAUUAGAUUAGCGAUCUAUGGGACUUCCAGACCCAUGAAAUUGUUUUAGGUUUGUGCAUUGUACUUUGUUGUAAAAGUAAAUAACUAAAACAUGGUGAACUUAGCUUUUAUACCUUUUCCUUCCUAAUAUUAAUGUGGUUGUGAAAGAAGCUUCUUUUAUUUUUU